rnacentral:lncRNA from 1 species
CAAAGCGCCGAAGAGGCCUAUGGAUGGGCUCAGGCCUUGUCGCUUUAAGGUCCCUUCCCCAGGGAGGAAGGAGGCGGGCGGGGGCCCACGUGACCACGUGUCAGGACCGUCCGGACAACUGGGGGGCUCUCGGGGUCUCUUCCAGGGGGACACACCGGCCUGGUGGGGGAAAAAGGGGGGCCGGACCGUGCCCCAGCCCCCCCCCUCUCCUCUCCCCACACCCCCGCGAACUCUGGACAAUUCAUCGAUGCCAGAAACACCAGCCCCCCUCCCAAAAGCAGACUUCGGUGAAAGUGGCCACAGCCUCUCCUGAGCAGUACUGCCAAGGAGGGACAGGCUUUACUGUCCUACAUUUCUUUCAUGAGUUAAGAUUACCCUGGUGAGUACUGAGAGAGAAAAAAAAAGAGAGAGAGAGAAACUGCCAGCCUUUUAGCACUCUUCCUCUUUUUUUCCCCAACAUACUCUGCUUCUCUUUUCCCUCCCUCUCCUCCCCACCACCCCCAACACCUAUGCCUUUUUCCCUUCUUCCCCCUCUCUAGCUCUGUCUCCUGUUCAUUCUUUUUUUAACCUCUCCAAAGUCUUGGACCACGAGCCCUGUUCCCUGCUCUACUUUGUGUUGUGGAAAAUUUAAUCCCAUUAUUUCAGGAGAGCUGUUUUAGCCGUCUGCCUCUGGCUUAGGGCUGUGGUCUGGUUUGGCUUGGUUUGCUGAGUUUUGUGAAGGAUACAGAAUUCCUGAGAACAAAUAUACAACUCUCUCUCUAUUGUAAUAAUCUUUGACCCUCUAAAUUUUCUUCACUUAGCCGCCAAGUAUAUAACUAUUCAUUUCUGGAUACUCUCCUCCUCCCAUCCAAGUGUUCCCCCCGUAUGUGGGGCCUUAGCUCAGAGUAAAACGCUGGCACCUAGGGGUUGAUAUUAGUCUUUCGUGGCUCCAAAAAACAUUAAUCUUGUCUGCAAGGGAUAAUAUUUGGUAAUUUUAACUUGGCCUCUGAAGUUGUUAGCUCCAGGGAGAUUUAAGUUAAAUUUUUCAUUUGAAAACUUGUGUAUUUAAUGUUUGACUCAUGCAGAAAUUGCCACAGGGUUUAUUUAUUCUCCCCUUAUAGCCACUGGUCAUGUGCAGAGGUAGCACUGCAACAUGAUUUAGUGGCACAGGGGUCUACACUGGGGGCCAAUAUGGGGCAGGAAUCAACCUUUUAAAGCCCCUGACCAGACAUUGCCUUGCUGGAAUGACUAAAACUACCAGGUUUAGACUCCAUUUACUCUAGAGAGCAGCCCCGGAAGUACAACACGAGUUAUUUCUGGGUCACUCUAGAAGGACGGAGUCCAAAUUCCAUGGUGAAAUUGUUCUGAAACCUGCAAUCAGGAGGCCAUAAGGGUGUCUCUGUCAGUAUUCCCACCCUGCCUCUUUCCUUCUCUUCAGUUGCUGUGGGAGGGGAGUGGGCGAAACUGUCAACCGAACACUGGGGUUCCCUGCUCUUAGUUGAGCUAGGGUGCAGAGAGGUAUAUGCUCAAGCCCUUAAUUGGGCCACGUAUUUUCAUGCCUAGUGUUACCAUAGAAAUUCGCCUGCACCUGAGCCAAAUUGCCACUGUUGCUAGGCACCAAACUCAGACCUACACCUGCUCAAAGGGUGCCCUGGCCCCUGAUCCAGUGUGAUUGCAGAGGUUUGAAUCGAGAAACUGCAAAGGCAGGAGCUUUACCCUCCUGCUCUGUGAGCCUCGUUAAAGUGCCAUCUAGUGUUCCUCUGAGUCUCAAAAACAUUUUUGGUUAAAAUGUAAAAUCCCAGGCAAAUUUAUCCAGAAAUAAGGGUGCAAGCAUAGCCUUCUCCCUUCCUUUCAUCCUCUUUCCCAAACAUGCAAUGAUUGUAGGAAAUGAAUAUUAAGGGAGAACAGCAGAGCAGGGGUUGAGAAGCUGUGGCUUGCAUAAUAUGGAUUGUGGAGGGAAGGGUCCCUGCCUCAAUAACAUUGGAAGUAUGUGAAGAAGCCCCCAGAUAGCUAUUGGCAACUGUUGCCAUGCCAAGUCAACUUGCCUGGAAUCCAGCCUCUAGCUAUGGAUCCUGAAUCCCCGUAUUGCUCCUCCGGCCCUGCCCAAUCCAGGACCCUCCCUCCAAGGAGCCUUUCCUGACUAAACCCUCCUUUCCUCUUCUCCUACUCCCUUCUGUGUUGCCCUGACUUGCUCCCUUUAUUCAUCCCCCCUUCUAGCCCCACAGCACUUAUGUACAUAUCUGUAAUUUUAUUUAUAUUUAUAUCUGUCUCCCCUUCUAGACCGUAAACUCAUUGUGGGCAGGGAAUGGGUAUGUUUAUUGUUAUAUUGUACUCUCCCAAAUGCUUAAUACAGUGCUCUACACACAGUAAGCACUCAAUAAAUAUGAUUGACUGACUGACCGACCCUCUCCCCACUUCCUUAUGAAGCAGGGGUACCAUGGAGGGCAGGCAGGGGUAAGAAGGCCACAUUUAGAGACAUGGCUGGAGCCCAGGUUUCCCUCCAGAUACACAUCUUCCUGUUCGCCUCAAAACCUCCCGGAAUUGUAGAGAGUCUGUGUAAAGGAAAACUAUGGUUGUAUUAACACCCAUCGCCUCCUAUUCAGAAAGUCUCUUCCUUCUUCCCUAAACAGAACAGCUGCGGCAUUUCUCAUGACAGCCUGAGUUGUAAAUGUUCACAACUUGCAGGGCAAAGGGGAAAGGAAAAAAAGGCCGAGGUGGAUUCCAGUUAAUUUGACAGUAAAGAACGCAGUUUGGAGUUAGGAUUUUUUUUCCCCAUCUCAGAACAGGGACCUUUUCACAUAAACAUGUGCUUGGCAGGGCACAGAAUGGAAACUUCUUUCUAGACUUUUGCCAAAGAUUUCUUCAUCGUGUCUGUUUUGUGUGUCCUGGGCCGGCGGGGAAGAUACGUGAGCAGGCUCUAUUCACUACUGAGAAAGGCAUCGAGGCUUGGAGUAUAGGGGUAGACUGGUAGAUCUCAGCAGUAGGACACAGGUAUUUAGGGCGGAGGAUUUGGGUAUAUGGGAGGUGCUUUUAACUCCUGCCAGUUCCCUCAGUUUGGGGGAGAUUCAUGUUAGUGCUGCUGCUGCUGCUGCUGGGGCCCUGAGGGGUUUAGAAAGAACAGCUGGGAGAGCCAGGGAUGCAACCUGGCACUGGACUAGGCAUCCCAGACAGCGGGAGAUGGCAUCUGCCUGGCCCCUCUAGACCCCACAUCUGUGCAGAGGCCUGGGGACAUUGCUGCCUUGAGAACUUGCCCAGGCUAGGAAGUUCACCAGAAUGAUAAUUGAGGGACCAUUUUUGCCUGCUGAUUUUAAAAUGGGGCAACACCUCGAACUAUCUGUAAAUGACAUUUGAGCCUAUCAUCUCGAUGUGCAGGCAAAUGUGGAGGAGAUUACCAGUUACCACUUUGACGUAACUAGCUGCAUUCACACACUGAUAAAAUCUCACUAUCAUCAGUAGUGUGACUUGAGCAUAUGUGCUGUCUAUCUGUGUGUGCUGCCUCUACGUGCUGUGUAUGUGCUGUGCUGUGUGUAUCUACAUAUACUCUUGCGCAUUAAUGUGGAACCAAGCCAGGACUAAGAAUCUAGUUGUUUCAGCUCCUUGCAGAGAAAUUUUUUACUUUUCAAUAAUACCCAAGAACCCUAGAAACUCCAUGUCAGAAAUGAUAAUAAUAAUAAUAAUAAUGUUGGGAUUUGUUAAGCGCUUACUAUGUGCCGAGCACUGUUCUAAGCGCUGGGGUAGAUACAAGGGAAUGAGGUUGUCCCACGUGGGGCUCACAGUCUUCAUCUUCAUUUUACAGAUGAGGGAACUGAGGCACCGAGAAGUGAAGUGACUUGCCCACAGUCACACAGCUGACAAGCGGCAGAUCCGGGAGUCGAACUCAUGACCUCUGACUCCCAAGCCCAGGCUCUUUCCACUGAGCCACGCUGCUUCUGCUGUGGUUGACAAGAAGUUCAAUCAAUCAAUGGUAUUAAGCACUUACUGUGUGCAGAGCACCGCUACUAAGCGUUUGAGAGAAAACAAUACCAGAGAGUUGGUAGAUAUGUUGUUAAUGAAAUGUACAUCGCCUUAAUUCUGUUUAUUUGCUAUUGUUUUAAUGAGAUGUUCAUCCCCUAGAUUCUAUUUAUUGCUAUUGUUCUUGUCUGUCCGUCUCCCCCGAUUAGACAGUAAGCCCAUCAAAGGGCAGGGACUGUCUCUGUCUGUUACCGAUUUGUACAUUCCAAGCGCUUAGUACAGUGCUCUUCACAUAGUAAGCGCUCAAUAAAUACUAAUGAAUGAAUGAAUGUUCUCUGCCUAUGAUGAGCUUACCGUCUAGCGGUCCUUGUUUCUCUUUCACCUUAACAUGGAUUCAGACAAAUAAAAUCCAGCCCAGAAGCCUUCCAUCUGGAGAGCCAUCUCUGACCUAUUAUCAAUUACAGGUAAUAGCUCUGGAGGGAAAAGGAACCUGGGAGGAUUUUUUUCUUCCUUCCUUUUCUAGUCUGUUUUUAGCCCUUUUCAGAGCAGCCAGGUACCAUGGUGACAGGUGCCACAGGAAUAGACGGAUAGAGCUGGCUGUGUGCAAGGAAUGAUAAUGAUGAUCUCUAUUCCCAUGGAGAUACUAUGACAGCAUUUUGAAGAGGUUCAGCGGCUUUGCCAUUCUGGGCUAACAGCGAAGCAUAUGGGAAAGGUGUGGGACUUGGGCCCUUAUGUUUUAUUGUACUCUCCCAAGUGCUCAGUACAGUGCUCUACACAUAGUAAGAGCUCAGUAAAUAGCAUCAACUGAUUGAUUACAUCCAGUGUUGGGAAAACUGGCAAAGCUGAGGUGGUGGUCCAAGUCCCAUCGUAGCAGAAGAUAACACUGAGCAAGGGCGUCCCCUGAGUUUUGGAGGUGCCUAGCCUCGGGAUCAAUCAAUCAUUGGUAUUUACUGAGUGCUUAGUACAAUGCUCUGCAUACAGUUAGCACUCACUAAAUAUCACUGAUGCUGCUGCUGCUUCCUGUGUGCAGAGCACUGUACUAAGCUCUUGGGAAAGUACAAUAUGACAGAGUUGGCAGACAUGUUCCCUGCCCACAACAGGCUUACAUUCUAGAGGAUGGCAUGGGAAUGAGACACAGUUGGAGCAGCCAAUUCUGAUUCUCAGGUUUCCCCUUUUUCCAAGGCAAGGGGUUCAGGCCCACUGCCAUCAGUCCUUUACUGGGUUUUAAGUUGGACCCUGUCUUUGUCUAGGGAACCCAUAGCCAAACAUGCCACAAGCAAAAUGCACCAUGCCAAAUAGGAAAUAAAAUGGUAGGAGCUAGAAGUAAAUAACAAUCUCUGAUUCCUGAAGAGCUUAAACCGAACUGAUUUCUAGAAAGCAAUCAGGGUUUACCUAAAACAGGGUGA